ACAUGAUAUAGAGGCCGCAGUUGUCAAUAGUAAUGUUAUUUUACAUGAAAGGGGCAAUUGCCGAAACACAGGUUAUGUGUUGGGAUUAUACCAAAUAGGUAUGGUACUGUCUUUAGAAAAUUGCCCGAUUUUCUAAAGGGGUGCUUGUUAUGU
rnacentral:ncRNA from 2 species